GUAAGCUCCUCGCUUCAGGUUCUGAAACUGCUGGUGCUGCGGGUCUGCAGCUGGAUACUAUUGAUUGCGUGUGCGUUAUAUAUCAGGUAACUACAGUCAGAUAAAGUGGCGACUCCGUCCAUCUUCCUUACUGUACGAAAACUCCGGUUUUACACAGUAAAACUACAUGUUGGAUGGAUUAAAAGAAACCCAGCUUGAAGAUGAAAUAACAGGGUGGAAGAUUACGACAAAAUCGAAUGAACGGUCUUUGUUGUAGUAUAGAUGGACUGCGUUAGACUUAACGAUGCUUCUCUCCGCGGCAUGGUCUGAUUUUAUUUUCCUUAUUCUGCGUAAAAAUAGCAGAUCCACCUAAGCUGGUCUUUAUGAAAGCUUUCAAGAAUCGCUCUAUUGCUGAGGUGUAUCAGUGUGAGGCAGAUGCCAAUCCUGCAGCUACACACUUCAGCUGGCACAGCACGCACCAGACUAUCCCUAAUGAUGCCAUAAAAACACAAGGAAAUAAACUCUACUUCUUGAAACUGACCCUCUGACCUCAAUGGCCUGUAUACCUGUGAGGCUUCAAAUGAGUACGGAACAGGAAUCGGCUCACUCUACUGGAAAAAAGGAGAAAAGACAGAAGACGACCAUUCUGAGUUCUUUAUGCCUGAUGUAAUUUCAUAUUUUCUCAGUUUCAUCAAACUCCCUUUAGGCAAACUCAGGAAUUAAAGCUGGCAAAAAUUAUUUUAUGCUUCUUAAAUUAAAACCGCACUAAAAUCUGUAUGAAGAGUUUAGAUGCAAAAAAGUGCCAUUUUAAAUUUUUGAAGGUAGCAUAGAUGUAUCCUUCGCUGGGGUACUUGUAACACUAGCCACGUUCACAUGUACAUGUAUUACAUUACAUGUAUUUUUCCAAUUGAAAGAUUCGGUGGACUGUUUACAUGAGACGUUAUCUAAUCCGAUAUGGUGUUCACAUGUGCCGGUGCUUUGGAUUUUGGGACAUGCUAAGUAGCCUACAGUGACGUCAAAUACAAAUCACCAGAGGAAAAAAAUUGCCGUAUUUGCCUUAAUAUUUUUGAUAACUACUUGCACUUGCUUAGAAUAAAUGUUUCUAGUGUAACCGGAAAUAACCGUAGCCUACGACCCUUUGUAAUGCAGCUCUGAAAUAUUUUGUAUUCUGAUACUAAAAAGUUUUACUGUACUUAAAUAGAACAAAUACACAAUUUCUCACAAAGUGUUGCUGAACAAUGAAUCAAAGGAGCAUUGCUUUAUGAACACGGACAGUGCUCACAACGAGCUAUCACACAUAACAUAACAUUUCCAAAUGUGUUUUUUAUUAUGACUCUGUAAUAAAUAAUAAAUACAAAUGACAAAAGCAUUGCUCAUUGUUUAUUUCCAUUAAGCUAUUCACUAUCAUCGUGUUGUUUCUAAGCUGAAAAGCAGUAAAUUGUGCUUAAUUUCCUUUCCGCUCCGGCCAUGAGAGCAGAUUUGGCAGUUCAUAACACAGCAAGUGUUUUCCAUUCUAAUGUGUUUUUAACUGUAUAAUUGAAAUUUUAACUUCUACGUCUACUAUUACCCAGUCUCUACUGUAGUGUCGGUGUCCACAAAUCACAGAAUGUACUGCGAUGCCGACAUCACGUUCCCAUUCUGACGACCAGGACCUCUUGAUGUGAUGAUGUAGAUGCAAAGUAUUCGGUUUAAUGUGCUUACAUGGCAGGAUUUUAAUUUUGUUCGGUUUAUAGAAAGGUUUAUCCCACCCCUCUCAAACUGAUUACAAUUUCAUUCUGUUUACGCAUUUUUAUUCCGAAUGAGGAGUUUAUAUGGAGCAUUUUUAUUCAGAUUGGAUUUUUAAACCGAUUAUAACGUUCCUUGUAAACGCAUCUACUGAUUCCAGCUAUCCUCAAACUCUCAUUAAGUUACAAUUUUCAUCUGCUCAAGCAGAACGUAAAUGUCAUCUUCUGCUUCAGCAAGGUAUCUCUGGCUAAAACUAGCUAACGUUAAAGUAACUGAGUCAAUGCUAACGUAUAAAGCUAAAUAACAAAUUGUUCUCAUGUCAUGUACAGUGUAGGACAAAACACAUAAAUGAAUGUCUGUAUUUCACUGUCUCUUCAUAUUAGUUAAAUGUACAUUCAUUUAAACUUACCCUGUGAACAGUGUUGGUCCGAGAUUUUUUCAUCUGCAAUCAUGAUCUGUAAACUC